rnacentral:rRNA from 1 species
CCUACGGGUGACAGCAGUGGGGAAUAUUGCACAAUGGGGGAAACCCUGAUGCAGCGACGCCGCGUGAGUGAAGCAGUAUUUCGGUAUGUAAAGCUCUAUCAGCAGGGAAGAAGAAAGACGGUACCUGACUAAGAAGCCCCGGCUAACUACGGUCCAGCAGCCGCGGGAAUAUGUAGGGGGCAAGCAUUAUCCGGCUUUACUGGGGGGAAAGGGCGCGUAGACGGCUGUGCAAGUCUGAAGUGAAAGCCCAGGGCUCAACCCUGGGACUGCGUUGGAAAAUGUGGAGCUAGAGUGCUGGAGAGGUAAGUGGAAUUCCGAGUGGAGCGGUGAAAUGCGUAGAUAUUAGGAGGAACACCAGUGGCGAAGGCGGCUUACUGGACAGUAACUGACGUUGAGGCUCGAAAGCGUGGGGAGCAAACAGGAUUAGAUACCCUUGUAGUC